rnacentral:rRNA from 1 species
UACGGAGGGUGCAAGCGUUAUCCGGAUUCACUGGGUUUAAAGGGCGCGUAGGCGGAUAGGGAAGUCCGUGGUGAAAUCCUGCAGCUUAACUGCAGAACUGCCGUGGAUACUAGCUAUCUUGAAUGUCGUGGAGGUUAGCGGAAUAUGUCAUGUAGCGGUGAAAUGCUUAGAUAUGACAUAGAACACCCAUUGCGAAGGCAGCUAACUACGCGAUAAUUGACGCUGAUGCACGAAAGCGUGGGGAGCAAACAGG